GACGAACGCUGGCGGCGUGCCUAAUACAUGCAAGUCGGACGCAGUUGCGAACGGGUGAGUAACGCGUAGGUAACUACCUAUUAGCGGGGACUAAAUAUUGGAAACGAUAGCUAAUACCGCAUACUAGUAGAUGGACCUGCGUGGUAGUAGCUAGUAGGUAGGGGAAGGGGCUACCUAGGCAACGAUACAUAACCUAUCUUGGAGGGUGGUCCGCCAAACUUGGACCGAUGAAAGGGCCCGACUCCUACGGGAGGCAGCAGUAGGGAAUCUUCGGCAAUGGGGCGAACCCCUAACGAGCAAAGCCGCCGUGGUGAAGAAGGUUUUCGGAUCGUAAAGCUCUGUUGUGAAGGAAGCGGUACUUAAACAGAAAGGGACGGCUAACUACGUGCCAGCAGCCGCGGUAAUAC
rnacentral:rRNA from 1 species